CACAGCUGGGUCAGGGCUCAUUUAGUCAAUCCAUGUCCAAUAUAAAUUUGGGGGAGCAUGUCCAGGGGAGUUCUUCUCCUCUUCCUGCUGGAACCCAAAGGUUACUACCUUUUAUUGAAGCGUUCUUUGUUUUGUGUGAAAAACUACAAGCAAACAGGUCUGUCAUGCAGCAAGACCAUGCCAAUGUAACUGCAAGAGAAGUGAAAGAGUCUGCUGGGGGCUCUUCUUCCUUGACCAAAUCGUGCAGUGUAGAUUCUCAGAGAAAGCUUGAUGGUGCUGUUACAUUUGCCAGGU
rnacentral:misc_RNA from 1 species